rnacentral:rRNA from 1 species
GACGGAGGAUGCAAGCGUUAUCCGGAAUGAUUGGGCGUAAAGCGUCCGCAGGCGGCAGUUCAAGUCUGCUGUCAAAGACCGGGGCUUAACUUCGGAAAGGCAGUGGAAACUGAACAGCUAGAGUAUGGUAGGGGCAGAGGGAAUUCCUGGUGUAGCGGUGAAAUGCGUAGAUAUCAGGAAGAACACCGGUGGCGAAGGCGCUCUGCUGGACCAUAACUGACACUCAGGGACGAAAGCUAGGGGAGCGAAUGGG